UACGUAGGGGGCAAGCGUUGUCCGGAUUUAUUGGGCGUAAAGAGCGUGUAGGCGGCCAGAUAGGUCCGUUGUGAAAACUGGAGGCUUAACCUCCAGCGGUCGAUGGAAACCAUUUGGCUAGAGUCCGGAAGAGGAGAGUGGAAUUCCUGGUGUAGCGGUGAAAUGCGUAGAUAUCUGGAGGAAUACCGGGUGGCGAAGGCGGCAUCCUGGACCGAGAUUGACGCUGAGGAGCGAAAGCUAGGGGAGCAAACGGGG
rnacentral:rRNA from 1 species